rnacentral:rRNA from 1 species
CGUUCCCGGGUCUUGUACACACCGCCCGUCACACCAUGGAGCGGGUCCUACCGAGAAGUAGCUAGCCUAACCGCAAGGGGGCGGUUACCACGUAGGAAUUCGUGACUGGGGUG